rnacentral:rRNA from 1 species
UAAGCGGAGGAAAAGAAACUAACAAGGAUUCCCCUAGUAGCGGCGAGCGAAGCGGGAAGAGCUCAAAUUUAUAAUCUGGCACUUUCAGUGUCCGAGUUGUAAUCUCUAGAAGUGUUUUCCGCGUUGGACCGCACACAAGUCUGUUGGAAUACAGCGGCACAGUGGUGACACCCCCGUACACGGUGCGGACGCCCAGCGCUUUGUGAUACACUUUCGAAGAGUCGAGUUGUUUGGGAAUGCAGCUCAAAUUGGGUGGUAAAUUCCAUCUAAAGCUAAAUAUUGGCGAGAGACCGAUAGCGAACAAGUACCGUGAGGGAAAGAUGAAAAGCACUUUGGAAAGAGAGUUAACAGUACGUGAAAUUGUUGGAAGGGAAACGCUUGAAGUCAGACUUGCUUGCCGGAGCUUGCUUCGGUUUGCAGGCCAGCAUCAGUUUUCCGGGGUGGAUAAUGGCGGUUAGAAGGUAGCAGCUUCAGCUGUGUUAUAGCUUUCCGCUGGAUACAUCCUGGGGGACUGAGGAACGCAGCGUGCUUUUAGCGGGGGUUUCGACCUCUUCACGCUUAGGAUGCUGGUGUAAUGGCUUUAAACGACCCGUCUUGAAACAC